UAGGGAAAGUAGGCAAUCGCCAUUACCUGACGGUGGUGGAGGAAAGUCUGGACUUCACAGGAGCAGGAUACCAGCGAAAGGCUGGGGGCCGAGAGGCUACGGAAAGUGUCACAGAAAACAUUCCGCUACAGCGAUGUAGACAGGCUGAAAAUGCUAGCUUUGAGAGCUAGCCUGACUGAUCGCAAGGUCAGCAGCGGCAAACCCUAUCCGAAGCAAGUGAACCGAUCGCAAUUGCGCUCCGCAAGAUUGGUUCAGAUACGCUUGAGGCGCGCUAGCAAUAGCCGCCCUAGAUGAAUGAUUGCCCACGACAGAAUCCAGCUUACCGCUUUCCCUAUUUU
rnacentral:RNase_P_RNA from 1 species